GCAGAAUAUUGUGUUGACUUGUGGGGUUCAGCUGUUUAAAUAAAAUAUUCAUACUAAAAUAAAGAAAUAAAUGAAAUGAGGAGGCCAAUGAGUGACAUUGAAGAGAUUUUCUGUCCCUUUCCAGAGGAAAAUCAGCGUGUGCUGCUGGCCCAGGCCGAGGUGGGUGCCCAGCUGCCAGAGCUGCUCUCCUGUGGCACAGCCCAGAUCCAGAGGGAGACCCUGGCCCUGAUCUCCCUCUACUCUGAGCACGAGGGGGGGCCGGAGGCUGCUGGGCAGGCAGGACCUGAGCAGAUGGCUGCAGAUUUUGAUGGCAUUUGUCAAGUGCGCUGAUGCAAGGGCUGAGAGUGCCAUGAACAUCCUGUCUGACUUAAGUGGGGAGGAAAGGUUCCAAGCCCAGUGUCGGGCCACGUUUUCCACGGCUGUUUCCCCUUUAUUCACCCAGCUGCUGGUAGGGAAGAUCUGAUUUUGUAUUUCCAGUUUAUUUUUGUGUAUCUUGGGCAAAGGGAUUUUUCCAGAAAAUAUGACUGUGACACCUUGGGCAGCUGGGGUUUGCCAGAGAGCUCCUGGAGUGCCAGAGGGUGGCACACACACC
rnacentral:lncRNA from 1 species